GAUGAACGCUGACAGAAUGCUUAACACAUGCAAGUCAAGUGGCGGACGGGUGAGUAACGCGUAAAGAACUUGCCUCCCAGCUAGGGACAACAUUUGGAAACGAAUGCUAAUACCUGAUACUGUGAGAGAGCUUUGCGUCCCAUUAGCUAGUUGGAGAGGUAACGGCUCACCAAGGCGAGGAUGGGUAGCCGGCCUGAGAGGGUGAUCGGCCACAAGGGGACUGAAACCCGGCCCUUAGUCCUACGGGAGGCAGCAGUGGGGAAUUUUGGACAAUGGGCGCAGCCUGAUCCAGCCAUGCCGCGUGUCUGAAGAAGGCUUCGGGUUGUAAAGGACUUUUGUUAGGGAAGCUACGACUAAAGAAUAAGCACCGGCUAACUACGUGCCAGCCGCCGCGGUAAUUC
rnacentral:rRNA from 1 species